rnacentral:lncRNA from 1 species
GGGUGCAUUAAUUGUACUGCAAAAUAAUAUGACAUUUAUUGCUUUUAUGUUCUUAGACAUCACAAAAUUUUGUUCUACGUAACUAACUGUUUAAUAGUAUGAUGUACGAUGAAUUGCCUUAAAAUUGUAAAAUUAGAAAUUAUUACUUGAGUACAAUUUUCAAAGACAUGAUUUUCCAUCUGUCACAAUAAAAUUUUUCAUUCUUGAAUGAUCAAAC